rnacentral:rRNA from 1 species
CCCGCACAAGCAGUGGAGUAUGUGGUUUAAUUCGAAGCAACGCGAAGAACCUUACCAGGGCUUGACAUCCCUUGAAGCAGCUAGAGAUAGCUGUGUCCUUCGGGACAAGGAGACAGGUGGUGCAUGGUUGUCGUCAGCUCGUGUCGUGAGAUGUUGGGUUAAGUCCCGCAACGAGCGCAACCCCUGUGGUUAGUUGCCAGCAAGUAGCGUUGGGCACUCUAGCCAGACUGCCGGUGAUAAAUCGGAGGAAGUGGGACGACGUCAAAUCAUCAUGCCCCUUAUGUUCUGGGCUACACACGUGCUACAAUGGCCGGUACAGACGGACGCAAAGCCGCGAGGUGGAGCAAAUCCUAAAAAGCCGGUCUCAGUUCGGAUUGCAGGCUGCAAUUCGCCUGCAUGAAGUCGGAAUCGCUAGUAAUCGCAGGUCAGCAUACUGCGGUGAAUACGUUCCCGGGCCUU